UACGGAGGGUGCAAGCGUUAAUCGGAAUUACUGGGCGUAAAGGGUAUGUAGGUGGUUGGAUAAGUUAUCUGUGAAAGCCCUGGGCUCAACCUAGGAAGGUCAGAUAAUACUGUUCAACUCGAGUAUGGGAGAGGGUAGUGGAAUUUCCGGUGUAGCGGUGAAAUGCGUAGAGAUCGGAAGGAACACCAGUGGCGAAGGCGGCUACCUGGCCUAAUACUGACACUGAAAUACGAAAGCGUGGGGAGCAAACAGG
rnacentral:rRNA from 1 species